rnacentral:sRNA from 1 species
GCUGGGCGUGGUGGUGCACACCUAUAAUCCCAGUGACUUGGGAGGCUGAGGCAGGAGGAGUGCAAGUUUAUAGCCAGCCUCAG